rnacentral:tRNA from 1 species
GGGGUUUUUACCGGCUGAUCAACUAAGCCUGUAGAAGCUUUGGGGGAAGAUCUUCGGAUGCGGGUUCAAUUCCCGCCUCCACCA